CUGUGGCAGACCUUCCCAGUGGGUGGAAGGGAACCAGACGCCCUACCCCCACUCUUGGGAACCUGUGAUGAUGGGGCAAGUAAGCUCCGGGGUGGAGAGUAGAUCUACUUCACAGCCUUGGAUUUAUUUGAAAACUGGAAAUCACGGUGCUGAUGUAACCAGGGGAACGCAUCCAGUGUCCCAGGGGCUGGCCUCUCAUCCGUGAGUCUACACAACCAACUGCCCAGUCCCAGCUCCAACUUAAGUGAAAGGAGAAUGGAAAAGUUAUGAUGGUGUCCAGCUUGGAAACUACAAGUGGAAAAGCUCUGCAAGCUGAUGAUAAGAGUCAACAAAG
rnacentral:lncRNA from 1 species